GACGAACGCUGGCGGCGUGCUUAACACAUGCCAGUCGAACGGAAAGGCCCUGCUUUUGUGGGGUGCUCGAGUGGCGAACGGGUGAGUAACACGUGAGUAACCUGCCCUUGACUUUGGGAUAACUUCAGGAAACUGGGGCUAAUACCGGAUAGGAGCUCCUGCUGCAUGGUGGGGGUUGGAAAGUUUCGGCGGUUGGGGAUGGACUCGCGGCUUAUCAGCUUGUUGGUGGGGUAGUGACUUACCAAGGCUUUGACGGGUAGCCGGCCUGAGAGGGUGACCGGCCACAUUGGGACUGAGAUACGGCCCAGACUCCUACGGGAGGCAGCAGUGGGGAAUAUUGCACAAUGGGCGGAAGCCUGAUGCAGCAACGCCGCGUGCGGGAUGACGGCCUUCGGGUUGUAAACCGCUUUCGCCUGUGACGAGGCGUGAGUGACGGUAAUGGGUAAAGAAGCACCGGCUAACUACGUG
rnacentral:rRNA from 1 species